UGGGGAAUAUUGCACAAUGGGCGCAAGCCUGAUGCAGCCAUGCCGCGUGUAUGAAGAAGGCCUUCGGGUUGUAAGUACUUUCAGCGGGGGGGAAGGGAGUAAAGUUAAUACCUUUGCUCAUUGAUGUUACCCGCAGAAAAAGCACCGGCUAACCCCGUGCCAGCAGCCGCGGUAAUACGGAGGGUGCAAGCGUUAAUCGGAAUUACUGGGCGUAAAGCGCACGCAGGCGGUUUGUUAAGUCAGAUGUGAAAUCCUCGGGCUCAACCUGGGAACUGCAUCUGAUACUGGCAAGCUUGAGUCUCGUAGAGGGGGGUAGAAUUCCAGGUGUAGCGGUGAAAUGCGUAGAGAUCUGGAGGAAUACCGGUGGCGAAGGCGGCCCCCUGGACGAAGACUGACGCUCAGGUGCGAAAGCGUGGGGAGCAAACAGG
rnacentral:rRNA from 1 species